UACGUAGGGACCAAGCGUUGUUCGGAAUUACUGGGCGUAAAGCGUGCGCAGGCGGUGAUGUAAGACAGGUGUGAAAUCCCCGGGCUUAACCUGGGAACUGCAUUUGUGACUGCAUCGCUGGAGUGCGGCAGAGGGGGAUGGAAUUCCGCGUGUAGCAGUGAAAUGCGUAGAUAUGCGGAGGAACACCGAUGGCGAAGGCAAUCCCCUGGGCCUGCACUGACGCUCAUGCACGAAAGCGUGGGGAGCAAACAGG
rnacentral:rRNA from 1 species